ensembl:snoRNA
UGGAUCAAUGAUGAUGUCUGAUGGCGUGUGAAUUAUAUAUGGUAAAUACCAUGGUAAAUACUUUUUGUUCAA